CGCCCGUCAAACCACGAAAGUGGGCAAUACCCAACAGCCGGUGGCCUAACCCGAAAGGGAGGGAGCCGUCUAAGGUAGGGUCCAUGAUUGGGGUUAAGUCGUAACAAGGUAUCCCUACGGGAACGUGGGGAUGGAUCACCUCCUUUCUAAGGAGAAAGGCUAACUAACACUUAGCACAAGAUGACUACUAGUAAGUAGUAAUAUUCUCUAAAUUUGUUCAUCAUAUUCAGUUUUGAAAGACUUAAAGUAAUUUAAGUGUUUCAAGAAGUAAAGAAAGUCUUUGAAAAGUAGAUAAAUGAUGUCUGAAAAGAAAUAAGGUUAAGGAACAAAGGGCACACAGUGGAUGCCUUGGCACCAAGAGGCGAUGAAGGACGGAACUAACACCGAAAUGCUCGGGGAAGCUGUAAGUAAGCGACGAUUCCGAGAUGUCCGAAUGGGGGAACCCACUAUGUUGAAGACAUAGUAUCUAACACACGUGUUAGAGGCAAUACGUAGGGAACUGAAAUAUCUAAGUACCUACAGGAAAAGAAAGUAAUAACGAUUCUGUCAGUAGCGACGAGCGAACACGGAGGAGCCAGAUACCUAAGGUUACAAAAUUAUAUAAUAGAUGAACGAUGUGGGAAAAUCGGUCGAAGAAGGUGAGAGCCCUGUAGUCGAAAUUAUAUAAUCCAUGGUAUCAGAAAGUAGGGCGGGACACGUGGAAUCCCGUUUGAAGAUAGGAGGACCAUCUCCUAAGGCUAAAUACUACUUGGUGACCGAUAGUGAACCA
rnacentral:sRNA from 1 species